UACGUAGGGUCCGAGCGUUGUCCGGAAUUAUUGGGCGUAAAGAGCUCGUAGGCGGCCUGUCGCGUCGGUUGUGAAAGCCCGGGGCUUAACCCCGGGUCUGCAGUCGAUACGGGCAGGCUAGAGUUCGGUAGGGGAGAUCGGAAUUCCUGGUGUAGCGGUGAAAUGCGCAGAUAUCAGGAGGAACACCGGUGGCGAAGGCGGAUCUCUGGGCCGAUACUGACGCUGAGGAGCGAAAGCGUGGGGAGCGAACAGG
rnacentral:rRNA from 1 species